GACGAACGCUGGCGGCGUGCUUAACACAUGCAAGUCGAACGGAAAGGCCCUGCUUUUGUGGGGUGCUCGAGUGGCGAACGGGUGAGUAACACGUGAGUAACCUGCCCUCGACUUUGGGAUAACUUCAGGAAACUGGGGCUAAUACCGGAUAUGAACUGCUGCUCCCUGGUGGGGGGGGGAAAGGGUCGGCGGUUGGGGAUGGUCUCGCGGCUGAUCAGCUUGUUGGUGGGGGAGUGGCUGACCAAGGCUUUGCCGGGUAGCCGGCCUGGGAGGGUGGCCGGCCACAUUGGGACUGGGCUACGGCCCGGACUCCUACGGGAGGCAGCAGUGGGGAGUAUUGCAGCAUGGGCGGGAGCCGGAUGCAGCGGCGCCGCGUGCGGGAUGUCGGCCUUCGGUUUGUAUACCGCUUUCGCCUGUGCCGAAGUGGGAGUGACGGUAAUGGGUAAAGAAGCACCGGCUAACUACGUG
rnacentral:rRNA from 1 species